AACGAACGCUGGCGGCAUGCCUAACACAUGCAAGUCGAACGAGACCUUCGGGUCUAGUGGCGCACGGGUGCGUAACGCGUGGGAACCUGCCCUUAGGUUCGGAAUAACUCCCCGAAAGGGGUGCUAAUACCGGAUAAUGUCUUCGGACCAAAGAUUUAUCACCUUUGGAUGGGCCCGCGUUGGAUUAGCUAGUUGGUAGGGUAAAAGCCUACCAAGGCGACGAUCCAUAGCUGGUCUGAGAGGAUGAUCAGCCACACUGGGACUGAGACACGGCCCAGACUCCUACGGGAAGCAGCAGUGGGGAAUAUUGGACAAUGGGCGAAAGCCUGAUCCAGCAAUGCCGCGUGAGUGAUGAAGGCCUUAGGGUUGUAAAGCUCUUUUACCCGGGAUGAUAAUGACAGUACCGGGAGAAUAAGCUCCGGCUAACUCCGUG
rnacentral:rRNA from 1 species